GCACUGCUGUGGAGUCCCACAAUAGGACGAAACGGCCGUCCGGUGC
rnacentral:hammerhead_ribozyme from 1 species